CAGCAGCCGCGGUAAUACGUAGGGUGCGAGCGUUAAUCGGAAUUACUGGGCGUAAAGCGUGCGCAGGCGGUUAUGUAAGACAGUUGUGAAAUCCCCGGGCUCAACCUGGGAACUGCAUCUGUGACUGCAUAGCUAGAGUACGGUAGAGGGGGAUGGAAUUCCGCGUGUAGCAGUGAAAUGCGUAGAUAUGCGGAGGAACACCGAUGGCGAAGGCAAUCCCCUGGACCUGUACUGACGCUCAUGCACGAAAGCGUGGGGAGCAAACAGGAUUAGAUACCCGAGUAGUCCCUGUCUCUUAUAC
rnacentral:rRNA from 1 species